ACUCCUUCUUUGCAAUUCUCAAGACUUCUUUCAAUGAGAAUUCCACCUUAGCAUUUAAUAUACCUUCUUCCAACAUCCCUUUCAAAUUUGUUGCCGCUUCAAUGUCAGAAAGUAGCUUAUAAGCAAUUGAUUUGCCCUCAUCUUUUGUCUCCCUUGUUUUUUCUUCCAAUGAUGCUGAGGUAUCCUUUACAGGCAAUUCUUGUGAAGCUGCCUCCCGAGCCUUAUCUCCUCGAGUUUGCCUCUUAGAUGAAUUUCCUUCUCUCGUAUCAUCAAAAUUUCCUCAUCUCUUUUCUUCCAUCAAAGCUUUAUGUUGGCUCUUAGCAAUAUAUGCAUGAACUGAAAGAGAUUCAACAGGAUCCUCCCAACCUGUUGCACCUCGUAUUGUAG
rnacentral:lncRNA from 1 species